ANCUGAAGAGUUUGAUCCUGGCUCAGAUUGAACGCUGGCGGCAUGCUUUACACAUGCAAGUCGAACGGCAGCAUCGGGGAGCUUUCUCCCUUGGUGGCGAGUGGCGAACGGGUGAGUAAUAUAUCGGAACGUGUCCAAUAAUGGGGGAUAACUAGUCGAAAGAUUAGCUAAUACCGCAUACUGYYUGAGGGGGAAAGUGGGGGAUCUUCGGACCUCACGUUAAUGGAGCGGCCGAUAUCUGAUUAGCUAGUUGGUGGGUAAAAGCCUNACYAAGGCGACGAUCAGUAGCUGGUCUGAGAGGAUGAUCAGCCACACUGGGACUGAGACACGGCCBDGNCUCCUACGGGAGGCAGCAGUGGGGAAUUUUGGACAAUGGGCGCAAGCCUGAUCCAGCCAUGCCGCGUGAGUGAAGAAGGCCUUCGGGUUGUAAAGCUCUUUCGCAAGGANAGAAAACUUAUCCACUAAUACUGGAUGAGGAUGACGGUACCUUGAUAAGAAGCACCGGCUAACUCCGUGCCAGCAMCCGCGGUDAUACGUAGGGUGCAAGCGUUAAUCGGAAUUACUGGGCGUAAAGCGCGCGKAGGCGGUUUUGUAAGUCAGAUGUGAAAGCCCCGGGCUCAACCUGGGGACUGCGUUUGAAAUACAAGGNUUAGAGUAUGGGAGAGGGAGGUAGAAUUCCACGUGUAGCAGUGAAAUGCGUAGAGAUGUGGAGGAAUACCAAUGGCGAAGGCAGCCUCCUGGCCUAAUACUGACGCUCAUGCKCGNAAGCGUGGGGAGCAAACAGGAUUAGAUACCCUGGUAGUCCACGCCCUAAACGAUGUCAACUAGUUGUUGGUGGAGUAAAAUCCAUUAGUAAYKYNSUAACUGUGAAGUUGACCGCCUGGGGAGUACGGUCGCAAGAUUAAAACUCAAAGGAAUUGWCGGGGGCCCGCACAAGCGGUGGAUUAUGUGGAUUAAUUCGAUGCAACGCGAAAAACCUUACCUGGCCUUGACAUGCCACUAACGAAGCAGAGAUGCAUUAGGUGCGAAAGGGNAAGUGGACACAGGUGUCGCAUGGCUGUCGUCAGCUCGUGUGUGAGAUGUUUGGGUUAAGUCCCNNNNCGAGCGCAACCCUUGCCAAUAAUUGCCAUCAUUCAGUUGGGCACUUUAUUGGGACUGCCGGUGACWAACCGGAGGAAGGUGGGGAUGACGUNAAGUCCUCAUGGCCCUUAUGGCCAGGGCUUCACACGUAAUACAAUGGUCGGUACAGAGGGUUGCWAACCCGCGAGGGGGAGCUAAUCUCAGAAAGCCGAUCGUAGUCCGGAUUGCAGUCUGCAACUCGACUGCAUGAAGUCGGAAUCGCUAGUAAUCGCGGAUCAGCAUGUCGCGGUGAAUACGUUCCCGGGCCUUGUACACACCGCCCGUCACACCAUGGGAGUGGGUUUCACCAGAAGUAGGUAGCCKAACSGSRAGGAGGGCGCUUAC
rnacentral:rRNA from 1 species